GAUGAACGCUGGCUACAGGCUUAACACAUGCAAGUCGAGGGGAAACGCAUUGGGUGCUUGCACCGAAUGGACGUCGACCGGCGCACGGGUGAGUAACGCGUAUCCAACCUUCCCGUUACUGCGGGAUAACCUGCCGAAAGGCAGACUAAUACCGCAUGUUCUUCGAUGACGGCAUCAGAUUCGAAGCAAAGAUCCGUCGGUAACGGAGGGGGAUGCGUCUGAUUAGCUAGUUGGCGGGGCGACGGCCCACCAAGGCGACGAUCAGUAGGGGUUUUGAGAGGAAGGUCCCCCACAUUGGAACUGAGACACGGUCCAAACUCCUACGGGAGGCAGCAGUGAGGAAUAUUGGUCAAUGGGCGGAAGCCUGAACCAGCCAAGUAGCGUGCAGGAUGACGGCCCUACGGGUUGUAAACUGCUUUUAUGCGGGGAUAAAGUGAGGGACGCGUCCCUUUUUGCAGGUACCGCAUGAAUAAGGACGCUAAUUCC
rnacentral:rRNA from 1 species